rnacentral:lncRNA from 1 species
AUAGUUGGCUGCAAAGCUUUUGGCGAUCAAGGCUGGACAAAGUGCGGUGCUACGUGCGUUGUUGUAUCCGAAAGCGACUCAACUGGUGCCUCCAUAUAAUUUCACGGUGCGUGAGUUCACCAAGGCCAUUUCCCAGCUCACUAACGACCUUGGCAAGUGCGGCAUCAAAAGCGAAGGCAUCUUGCUAGCUAACACAACCCUCGGGGCGGAGAACCGGACGACCAGUAACGUUCUGUCCGCCGAUGCCAAUUCGUUGUCCUACGCAAGAACAGAGCCUGAGAUGUUGAGGAUUGUGUACGGAACCGGCAAUGAGCACCUUUCCGGAGGAUUUUUCCCCUUGGGUGCAAACGGCAAAAUUGCAAGGAGCCACCUCCUUAUAUAAUACUCUUUGAUGGGAUCUUUCCUAGCAUCUAUGCUACCUAGCUAAUAACAAUAAUAUAAAUAAGGGUGAUAUAUAUGAUACAUACUACACGAGAAUAAUUAGCAUUCAUAUAUGCAUUUGAUUAUGUAUCGAUCAUAAACGUACAAAAUGAUUAAUCGAAGUGUUCUCAUUUACAUUACACCGAGCAAUCGUAUAUAUAUUAUACUUGUGCCUAUAUAUAUAUAUAUAUAUAUAUAUAUAUAUAUANNNNNNNNNNNNNNNNNNNNCUCAUCCUCCCUGUGAUUCCAUUUUUGAGGAGUGGAGGUCCGGUGAGAGAGAAAAGGAGGAAAGAAGGCGAUUGGGUUUUCGAUCGGAUUUCCGAUACCGGCGGACGGGGGCGAGCGUGACCGGUAUUGGCAGCUUGAUCUCGUUCUCCCUGACGUCGCUGUGCUAUUGGAUUUUCAUGGGAAGCUGAGGAGAGAGAGAUUCAACGAAGGGAAACUUUUCUGGGUUGCCGGCGAGUUCUCGAUUCCGGCCACGGCGGCGGGCGUGGAUGGUGUUGGUAGCUUUGUCUCGGUCUUGUCGACGUCUCUGUGCCUUCAGCUUGCAGAGGUGAGGUCCGGUGAGUGAGAAUCGAUGUAAAGGAGUGGUUUGAGUUUUCCGGCGAGGGUUCAAUGCUUUCCGGCCACCGUCGUUGGCAAGUGAGGUAUUAAACAUGAUCUUAUCAUCGAACUCUAUCUUUCUGUGUAGUUACAUUUGAGGUUGGUUGGGAUUUGAAGAAAUUGGGUUUUGGGCAGUGGAGGACCGCCGUGUAUGCUACUGUACACGGCGGCGUUGAUGAUGCUUUGGGUUUUGGAGUAGCUAUCUUUCAUAUUGAUAGAAGCUUUGGAAUAUAAUCUCCUGGUUGGUUGUAAUUGAAUUUGAGGCUGUGAUUAUUGAGAUUGAUGUGUGGGUUGUUAUUUUGGUGAAAUGAGAAGGAAUGGCAGUAAGGGGGAGGUCGGACUAGCGGCUGCAUUCUCGGUCAAGGAAUUGAAAUUGAGUAUUCAGCUGUGUUAUGAUCAACCUGAUAUUAAGGAAGGACAAGGAGAAAUCGUGGUAUUGGAAGAAAGGAUGUUAACUCGCACCUUGUUAAUUAACUGGUGCUAUCAAGUUUGGUGUAGUCAAUUGAAUUAUGGAUUUUGUGAGUUGUGAGUUGUAUGAUCGUGAUGAUUUGCAUGGUAGUCACUGUGUUGAAAAGCUGAUAUUAAUAUUGAAUAUAUAAAGGGAAGAUGCUAAUUAAAUCAUUGCUGUAUAAAUCACGAUCAGAGCCUGAAGUUGCUUGUAUAUUACUGUUAGACAGUUGUUGGAUUUAGUAUAAUGUUAGGAAAGUUGAUGGGUAGUGGUUUUGGGUGUCCAUAGAAAAAUCAGAGAUAGGUUAGUAAUUGAAGUGUUGAUAUGAGCAAGCCUAAAGGUGAAUUGGAAUGUGACGAUGAAUUUUAAUAUGAGUGAGCAUGGUAUGUAAUUAGGAAACUAUUGGAGAAAGUGAGAGGAAGUGUGGGAUUGAGAACUUGGGUGUCCUUAUCAAUUUGAGGACUUACACCCAUACAAAUUCUAGAUUCGAUACAGUUGUUGUUGAAGGUAGAGAAUUAGUAUAAAAUGUUGAACUACGAGUGGCUUGAUCACUUUAAAAGAGUACGUAGGCAGCCCGAUUAAGUUUUGGGUGCAGCCGCAAAUUAACAAAAUAAAUUUAGGUUCCAAACGCGUCAAACAUGUUCGUUGUUUUUGUUUGAUUAUGAGAUCCUAUCUCAUUUUCGAUUUAGGAUUUCCUUAUUUAUUUUAUUCAUUUAUUUUUUUUAACACCUGGGUCAGGGUGUUACAUAAGUGCAUAAAGUGAUUAAUGGGUCAAAAGUCAGUGACCAUUUAUGAUAUUUUGCCUAUUAGAAAAGAAGGAGGGUUUCGCAAGCCUUUGUUAGAUAUCAACCGUCAGAAUUUUGCAAAACUAGCUAAUGGAUCGAACAGGUAGGUUUCACCUUGAUCCUGCCAUUUGAUCCAUAUGCAGACUCACUGAAGUUUCUUUUGGCAACCUACUUGAUCCCUUAUGUUGGAGAAAAUGGUUAUGUUGGCACAGUUUCUUACCUUAGAAAAAGAAAAUAUUGUAGAGUAAGAACUCAUCUCUCACUUUCGAGAAAACUCCAUCCGUAAAAUUAUUCUUAUUACGUGAUAUUAAGUAACUUAAUAUUGAGUUUGGACAUAUAUCUACUGGUCAAUCAAUACUGUGGUUUCACAAGUUUAAAAACGAUAAACAAUAUUCACAUACGUGAGUGCGGUCAUUCCACACGCAUGCGUGCGUGCAAGAAGGCUAGUAUAGACUAAUUACAAUUUUUACAGGGUAGUUCUUGUUGUAUAUAUAGUUGGCUGCAUCACUGUUGGCGGUUGAGGCGGGACAAGAUGCAAUCGUACGUGCAUUUCUGUAUCAAAGAGCCUAUGAGAAGGUGCAGCCCUAUAACCUCACAGUGGCUCAUUUUACAAACCGUAUUUCUAUGCUUAGGAACGAGCUUGGAAUGUGUGGGAUCAAAGAUGAAGGCAUCAUAGUGCCGGAAGAGCUCGGGGCCGAGAAUCGGACGUCCAGUAACAUCAUAUCGGCCGAUCCUAGCUCGCUUGCGUAUGCAAGAACACCGCCGGAGAUAUUGAGGAUUGUUUACUCAAGUGGGAAUGAAUCACUGCCGGGAGGAUUUUACCCUGAAGGUGCAAAUGGGAAAAUUGCAAGGAGCUUCCUGAAGAUCAAGUAACACAACUAUAUCUCAAGGCCAUUAUCAGAUUGCCUGCUAAUNNNNNNNNNNNNNNNNNNNNUAAUUUGUAUGUUAAAGAGCAGUCUCAGUGAUAGAUUUUAGAAUUAAAUUUAGUUUACCUCCAUGAAGUUUGGGAGUAACUUCAUGUUAAUUCCUAUACUUUCAAUUUCAUCAGUUUACCUCUCAAACUUUUGAAUUUUCCUCAAGCGUGACCAAAUGUCCUAUAUUCUGUCCAAAUCGGAUGUUAACUACUGAUAAUUUUAACCAUAACUGUGAGGCUAGUAUCUAGAAUUUGGGCAAAUCGGACCUUAUAUGUCCAAAUCGAACCUUAACUGCUGAUAAUUAAAGGUCAAUUCAAGCGGAAUAUGAGAAUUUGGGCACGGCAGACAGAAAUUGAAGAGUUCAAGGGGUAAACUGAUGAAAAUAAAAAUGUAGAGACUAACAUGAAGUCACCCCCAAACCACAAGGGGGUAAACUGAAUUUAAUUCUAGAUUUUAACAGAUAAAUAGAUUCAGGACUUGUUCAUGUUCACUCGUGGUUAACUUUGGCUUUAACCUUUCUUGUUAGUCAAUGUUGGAUAAUAUAUCCAAGGGUAAUACAAAACAAAAGCUUGAACGUUGUUAAAUUAACCUACGUACAGCGCGGUCCAUCUGAUACCAAACAAGUAGAAGUAGUAUACUACUAUACGUACCUCUCAACUUAUAUAUAGAGGGAUCGAUGAUAGGGUUUGCGACCUUGAGUUUAAGAUGGUAGGUGGGUUAAUUAGUUAUGGGAGAAGAGUGUAGGGAGGCCGAGCCUUCGCUCUGCUUACCUAGGGAUAUAAUAUAGAAAAGUAAUUUUGACACUCUUACAACUUCCAUUCCAUUUUAACCACAUAAAACUAUGUACCACAAUCAUUAAUUACCGUAGUUGUCUUUACAAGUAAUUGAAAGGUCUUGAAAAUACUUGAUCGUUGAGUUUUGGCUUUGGAUACUAACAUUCUUCGACCAAGCAAUUGUUUUGAAUAACUCGUGAACUUAAAGUUUUCAACAAAUUAAUAAGCAAAUAAACCAUUAAAAGUGGAUUCAUGAAGGAUAAUAAGUCGAUUACUAGCUCGCAAAAAUUGGACUUCAAUGGCUUUCAAAAAUAGAGUUAAAAUCAAUUAGCAUCAAAUAAUUAGGCAUGUGAUGGUACCAUUAUAAUGAUAACAAGUACACAAGGGUGUCACAUAAUGUGGGUUUACGGAUUACCAAGAUCACGCAUCUUUAGCAUUGUGUAUAUUUUACGAGAUUAUUUUGUUAAGAAUCAUGGAUUACUAAAGCUAAAAUUGCAGAUAAAAAACGAAAAGAAAACGCAGAGAAGACUGAAGGCUACAUUGUGUUUUUGAAUGCGGAAAAAAGAGGCUAGGUUACAACAAUUAAUUGCAUAAUCCUAAUUUACAAUCUUUUGGUACCACAAAUUAAAUCCAAUUAACCAAUUACGUACUCUCUCAGCAACUGCAUGGGGUUCGGGCACGUCUAUAUAAACCCAGUAAUGCAUGCUUCAUUCACUCGUACUAACACCAUUACAGCAUUUGCUUCCUGCUUUCGUCGAUCAAUAUGGCUCCUUCAAUUUCCACUUUCUCUUCUGUCUUCCUUGUUCUUCUUGCACUGUACCUCAACCUCAGUCAUCACCAUGUCACGAGUACUCUGGUUACUAUUAGUCCCCCUAGCUGCGCACCCAUUAAUGCAGCUGAUGUUGAUCGCAUGCAGUUUGCCUGAACUUAGAAUUCUGUCAAGCCGAGUACUUUCUGUACGGCGCUACUGGCCAAGGCCUCGACAGCUAUGCUCCGGGUUUGUCCGGAGGUGGUCCGCCUCCCAUCGGUGCUCAGAAGGCCAUGCUUCUCGACGACCCUGAUGUUGCUCGCACCAGUGAGGAGAUUGCUUAUCAACAAAUUGGUAACAUCAGGUACCUGUUCGUUGAGAUAUUGUCUUGUAACCAAUAGACGUAAACAAAUCUACACAAGAUACCACCUCGAUCAGUCACACUAUUUGUUGCUAGCUACUAUAUUACGACUUGACAUAUGGUAUUGUUAUAUAUAUUUCAGGUCUAUUGUUCAGAAUGGAGGAGGAAUUCCAAGGCCUCUACUGAAUCUCGGACUCGUAAAUUGGGGAUUAUUUUUUGACCUAGCACUGAAGACACCUCUAAUCCCUCCAUUUAAUCCAUACGCGAACUCACUCAAUUUUCUGUUAGGCGCCUAUGCCAUGCCUGAUCUCGCACAAAUCUCCUAUGUCAGCUCCAUUCCGAGCCUCACCACAAAUUCUUCUUCAUUAUCUGUGAGUAUUAAGAACUGGGAUUAUCGAUCGUACAUGUAAUUAACUUACUGCAUGUAAUUAACAUUUAUUUCCUUUUUCUUUUUAUGGGAAUCACUUAUAGUUGGCUGCAAAGCUUUUGGCGAUCAAGGCUGGACAAAGUGCGGUGCUACGUGCGUUGUUGUAUCCGAAAGCGACUCAACUGGUGCCUCCAUAUAAUUUCACGGUGCGUGAGUUCACCAAGGCCAUUUCCCAGCUCACUAACGACCUUGGCAAGUGCGGCAUCAAAAGCGAAGGCAUCUUGCUAGCUAACACAACCCUCGGGGCGGAGAACCGGACGACCAGUAACGUUCUGUCCGCCGAUGCCAAUUCGUUGUCCUACGCAAGAACAGAGCCUGAGAUCUUGAGGAUUGUGUACGGAGCCGGCAAUGAGCAC